rnacentral:rRNA from 2 species
UGGGGAAUAUUGCGCAAUGGGGGAAACCCUGACGCAGCAACGCCGCGUGAAGGAUGAAGGGCUUCGGAUUGUAAACUUUUGUCUUCGGGGACGAUUAUGACGGUACCCGAGGAGGAAGCCACGGCUAACUACGUGCCAGCAGCCGCGGUAAUACGUAGGUGGCGAGCGUUGUACGGAUUUACUGGGUGUAAAGGGCGUGUAGACGGGUUUGAAAGUCAGGUGUGAAAUGCCGCAGCUUAACUGCGGAGCUGCAUUUGAAACUUCAAAUCUUGAGUGCGGGAGAGGAAAGCGGAAUUCCUAGUGUAGCGGUGAAAUGCGUAGAUAUUAGGAGGAACACCAGUGGCGAAGGCGGCUUUCUGGACCGUAACUGACGUUGAGGCGCGAAAGCGUGGGGAGCAAACAGG